UAUCUCUCUGUACGGGGAAGGAUGAGAAGCUUCGACUAAGGUUCGAUUCGAGCGAAAGCGAGAAAGCGUUGCCAACGGCAACGACCCGAAGGGCGAAGCGCG
rnacentral:sRNA from 1 species